rnacentral:rRNA from 1 species
UGGUGGCGACCGGCGCACGGGUGAGUAACGCGUAUGCAACCUACCUUUCAGAGGGGAAUAACCCGGCGAAAGUCGGACUAAUACCGCAUAAAACAGGGACACCGCAUGGUGAUAUUUGUUAAAGAAAUUCGCUGAUAGAUGGGCAUGCGUUCCAUUAGGUAGUUGGUGAGGUAACGGCUCACCAAGCCGACGAUGGAUAGGGGAACUGAGAGGUUGGUCCCCCACACUGGUACUGAGACACGGACCAGACUCCUACGGGAGGCAGCAGUGAGGAAUAUUGGUCAAUGGGCGAGAGCCUGAACCAGCCAAGUCGCGUGAAGGAAGAAGGAUCUAUGGUUCGUAAACUUCUUUUGCAGGGGAAUAAAGUGCAGGACGUGUCCUGUUUUGUAUGUACCCUGAGAAUAAGGAUCGGCUAACUCCGUGCCAGCAGCCGCGGUAAUACGGAGGAUCCGAGCGUUAUCCGGAUUUAUUGGGUUUAAAGGGUGCGUAGGUGGUUUGAUAAGUCAGCGGUGAAAGUUUGCAGCUUAACUGUAAAAAUGCCGUUGAAACUGUCGGACUUGAGUGUAAAUGAGGUAGGCGGAAUGCGUGGUGUAGCGGUGAAAUGCUUAGAUAUCACGAAGAACUCCGA